rnacentral:rRNA from 1 species
UACGAAGGGGGCUAGCGUUGCUCGGAAUCACUGGGCGUAAAGGGUGCGUAGGCGGGUCUUUAAGUCAGGGGUGAAAUCCUGGAGCUCAACUCCAGAACUGCCUUUGAUACUGAGGAUCUUGAGUCCGGGAGAGGUGAGUGGAACUGCGAGUGUAGAGGUGAAAUUCGUAGAUAUUCGCAAGAACACCAGUGGCGAAGGCGGCUGACUGGUCCGGUUCUGACGCUGAGGCGCGAAAGCGUGGGGAGCAAACAGG